UACGAAGGGGGCUAGCGUUGUUCGGAAUUACUGGGCGUAAAGCGCGCGCAGGCGGUUCUUCAAGUCAGUGGUGAAAGCCCGGAGCUCAACUCCGGAACUGCCAUUGAAACUGUGGAACUUGAGGAUGAGAGAGGUGAGUGGAAUUCCCAGUGUAGAGGUGAAAUUCGUAGAUAUUCGCAAGAACACCAGUGGCGAAGGCGGCUCACUGGCCCGGUACUGACGCUGAGGUGCGAAAGCGUGGGGAGCAAACAGG
rnacentral:rRNA from 1 species